rnacentral:tRNA from 1 species
AGUGAGAUGACUGAAUUAGGUGAUAAAUUGUAAGUUUAUUUAUGAGAUUAAAUCUCUCUCAUUA